UAGCCAGCUUUGCAGGUCUCCUCCGUUUAAAACAUGGCACCUAGCUGUUUUGGUGAGAAACCCUAGAUUGAUUGGAGUUGGAUGUUCUGGAGUGGCGAGGAACCCUAGAUUGAUUGGAGUUAGAUGGAUGCUUGCUCGUUUUGUUAGUUCCUUUACCGUCCCUCAAAUCCAAACAUUCCUUGCUAGGACUGGUACGGUGCUCCAGCUCAUCUAAAGCAGUUUGCCUUUUGGGGAAUACUGGUUUGUGUUCGUUUUUCCAAAACUGUCUGGGGUUCCGCACGCCCUGUGUUUGAGACCCCUUUGGAUUUAUUGUUAUAAUGAGUUUUGCUUGCCCGGUGUUCAAUUAGUGUACCAUUGAAUUUUUAGCAGAGCACUGAUCAAGCGUUUUGUUCCAAGGUUUUUUAAUCAGUUCUAAUGCCCAUAUAUUAUCUCAUACAUGUGUUGAUUUCUACACAUUUUGAAUUUCAUCUUAUAAUCAAAUCUGGUCUGAUUGACUGUUGCCUUUUAUUUUCUUUUUAGUAACUUUUUGAGUACCAGUGAUGUAAAGGGACACAAGCUCUAGCAAUGUUUCUGCUUCUCAUGUAGGCCGUGUAAGACGUCGCAAACAUCCAACUGAGGCUACCACAGAUGGGAAUAGAGCUAAUGGACAACCAUUGCUUGUCAAUGAUCAGAACAAAUAUAAAUCAAUGCUUACCCAUACAUAUUCUACAGUAUGGAUGAUUAGAGGCUUUGCCUUUAUUAUUUAUAUGGGUCAUCUAUAUAUCUGGGCUAUGGUGGUUGUGAUUCAAAUAUACAUGGCAAGAGAACUUUUCAACUUACUCAGAAAAUCCAGUGAAGAGAAACAACUGCCAGGGUUCAGGGUCCUGAAUUGAUCUAGAUGCCAACCAUUAGGCAUGAUUCGAUUCUAGAAGAUCCUGAUGGUGACACCUCACAACCACAACACAUCUCGGACUACUACCAUGUCAAUCUCAAGAAUGUGAUGAUAACAUGACCAUUCAAAUUGGUGAAGUACUUCAGAUGCAAAUUGAGGUUCAGAGAUAGUUAAAUGAACAACUUGAGAAAUGGUCAUUUGUUAAAUCUGAGCAUAAAAGAUCGGAAAUCCAAGGGCUUAUGGAAUUGGUAUUGCAAAGAUUUUCAUGUGAUUCGGAUCCUUAUAAGGAAAGAUAAUUUAUAUACAUGAGGGAGCCACCUAUUGAUUCUUUUGAUGUCUCUGCAUGUG